rnacentral:rRNA from 1 species
UGAGGAAUAUUGGACAAUGGGCGCAAGCCUGAUCCAGCCAUGCCGCGUGCAGGAUGACGGUCCUAUGGAUUGUAAACUGCUUUUGCACAGGAAGAAACAACAUUACGUGUAAUGUCUUGACGGUACUGUGAGAAUAAGGAUCGGCUAACUCCGUGCCAGCAGCCGCGGUAAUACGGAGGAUCCAAGCGUUAUCCGGAAUCAUUGGGUUUAAAGGGUCCGUAGGCGGUUUAGUAAGUCAGUGGUGAAAGCCCAUCGCUCAACGGUGGAACGGCCAUUGAUACUGCUAGACUUGAAUUAUUAGGAAGUAACUAGAAUAUGUAGUGUAGCGGUGAAAUGCUUAGAGAUUACAUGGAAUACCAAUUGCGAAGGCAGGUUACUACUAAUGGAUUGACGCUGAUGGACGAAAGCGUGGGUAGCGAACAGGAUUAGAUACCCUGGUAGUCCACGCCGUAAACGAUGGAUACUAGCUGUUGGGCGCAAGUUCAGUGGCUAAGCGAAAGUGAUAAGUAUCCCACCUGGGGAGUACGUUCGCAAGAAUG